AGAAUUCUAUUUGGAAUUUCAGAAGCCUGAAAGGAAGGCUCUGGCCAGCCUCUUCUGAAGACUGAGGCCAGAUUCACUGGCUUCUUCACCUCCCUACCUGACACAGGUCUCAGCAGUGGAUGAGUGUAUCAAUUGUAAAUGUCUUAAGUAAUAGAAAGCUCGGAUACAAGUUUAUUUUUCACAGAGCUAGCAAUUGAGAAGUGGGCAGAUAAAGGUGUUGGCUUCAUGGCCUAAAAUUGUCAGAGCUGAAUCCAGGUCAUUUUCUCAUGCUUUUCCUGCUGAUCACAAGAUGACUCCUCCAGUUCAGACAAAGCAGCCUUGCAAAGAGCCAAGGGAAAAACCAUCUGGCCUUGGCACAGGAGAAUCUGUAGAAGCCCUGAAGCUGCUGAGCAUCACAUUUCUGCUGUGCUCUCUGACUUGCCUCUUGCUGGAGACUGUUGCUUCCUCUGUGUCACCUUUAUCUGCCUUCAGAGUACAAGACCAGGAUGCCCUGCCAGAACACUCAGUGGGUGUGUUUGCUGUUAUGAUGAAAGUUCCGGCCUCCAUAGGACCUAAGAUUCUCGUCGAAGAAAAUUCCAGGUCCUGGCUGAGCAACUUCAAGGAUUAUCUCUGUGAUCUCAUCAGGAGCCACAUCCCUCCAGCAGCCAUUUUUAUUUUUCUUAUCAUGUCAGCAGUACUGGGGACCCUCUGCUGCCUCACUGUUCUAAUAGGUGAACCUGUCCAAUGAAGUAUGAGAAGAUUCAAUGGACAAAUGUAAUGCUUAGCUUGCUGGAUUCAAAGAGAGUGGAGAGUGUGCUAUUUGUAUACAAUAAGGAAGUAUCUACCGGGUAAAAUUAAAUCAUCUUAUAUCUUAAACGAUCUUUGCCUUCAUUUUCUCCUUUAAAAC
rnacentral:lncRNA from 1 species